ACAAGCGGUGGAGCAUGUGGUUUAAUUCGAUGCAACGCGAAGAACCUUACCUGGGCUUGACAUUCUGGGGAAUCCCCUGGAAACAGGGGAGUGCCUUUCGGGAGCCCCAAGACAGGUGCUGCAUGGCUGUCGUCAGCUCGUGUCGUGAGAUGUUGGGUUAAGUCCCCGCAACGAGCGCAACCCUUGUCUUUAAUUGCCAUCAUUCAGUUGGGCACUUUAAAGAGACUGCCGGUGGUUAAGCCGGAGGAAGGUGGGGAUGACGUCAAGUCCUCAUGGCCUUUAUGCCCAGGGCUACACACGUGCUACAAUGGGUGGUACAAAGGGUAGCGAUGCCGCGAGGUGAAGCCAAAUCCCAAAAAGCCGUCCACAGUUCGGAUUGGAGUCUGCAACUCGACUCCAUGAAGCCGGAAUCGCUAGUAAUCGUGGAUCAGCAUGCCACGGUGAAUACGUUCCCGGGCCUU
rnacentral:rRNA from 1 species